GGGCAUGUGGUGUAUCUGGUAACACACGGGGGAUUCUCAUUAUCUGGUACCCAGAGUAGUCGGUUCGAUUCCGACCGUGUCCA
rnacentral:tRNA from 1 species